GACGAACGCUGGCGGCGUGCCUAAUACAUGCAAGUCGAACGAGAGCGCCCGGUGCUUGCACUGGUCAAUCUAGUGGCGAACGGGUGAGUAACACGUGGGUAACCUGCCCAUCAGAGGGGGAUAACAUCCGGAAACGGAUGCUAAAACCGCAUAGGUCUUCGAACCGCAUGGUUUGAAGAGGAAAAGAGGCGCAAGCUUCUGCUGAUGGAUGGACCCGCGGUGCAUUAGCUAGUUGGUGAGGUAACGGCUCACCAAGGCCGUGAUGCAUAGCCGACCUGAGAGGGGGAUCGCCAACAUUGGGACUGAGACCGGCCCCAACCCCCUGCGGGAGGCGCCAGUAGGAAUUCUUCCGGAAGGGCGGCAAGUCGGACGGACCACCGCCGCGGGAGGAAAAAGGGUUUUCGGAUCGUAAACCUCUUUUGUUGGAGAAAAACAGGUGCUGAAUAAAUUUUUAGCGCCUGGACGGUAUCUAACAAGAAAGCCCCGGCUAACUACGUG
rnacentral:rRNA from 1 species